rnacentral:rRNA from 1 species
UACGUAGGGGGCAAGCGUUGUCCGGAAUUAUUGGGCGUAAAGCGCGUGUAGGCGGCUCGGUAAGUCUGCUGUGAAAGUCCAGGGCUCAACCCUGGAAUGCCGGUGGAUACUGUCGAGCUCGAGUCCGGAAGAGGCGAGUGGAAUUCCUGGUGUAGCGGUGAAAUGCGCAGAUAUCAGGAGGAACACCAAUGGCGAAGGCAGCUCGCUGGGCAUUAACUGACGCUGAGGAGCGAAAGCAUGGGGAGCGAACAGG